UACAGAGGUGGCAAGCGUUGUUCGGAAUUACUGGGCGUAAAGGGCGCGUAGGCGGCCAUCUAAGUCAGACGUGAAAUCCCCCGGCUUAACCUGGGAACUGCGUCUGAUACUGGACGGAUCGAGUAUGGGAGAGGGAUGUAGAAUUCCAGGUGUAGCGGUGAAAUGCGUAGAUAUCUGGAGGAAUACCGGUGGCGAAGGCGGCAUCCUGGACCAUUUACUGACGCUGAGGCGCGAAAGCUAGGGGAGCAAACGGG
rnacentral:rRNA from 1 species